rnacentral:rRNA from 1 species
UGCCAGCCGCCGCGGUAAGACGGAGGGUGCAAGCGUUACUCGGAAUCACUGGGCGUAAAGCGUACGUAGGCGGCCAAUCAAGUUGGAUGUGAAAUCCCACAGCUUAACUGUGGAACUGCGUCCAAAACUGGUUGGCUCGAGAACAGUAGGGGACAGUGGAACUCAAGGUGGAGCGGUGAAAUGCGUAGAGAUCUUGAGGAACACCGGUGGCGAAAGCGACUGUCUGGGCUGUUUCUGACGCUGAGGUACGAAAGCCAGGGGAGCGAACGGGAUUAGAUA